rnacentral:tRNA from 1 species
GGUCCGAUGGUGUAGUGGUGACUCACUGGCUUGGGCCAGAGACGCGUGUUCGACUCACGCUCGGUUCG